CGGUAGCGCAACGGAUAGAGCGAGAGACUUCGAAUCUCUAGGCUGCGGGUUCGAGUCCUGCCCGG
rnacentral:tRNA from 1 species